GUGCAGCCAAACACAGCCUUAACGCUGAAGUCAUACGCGUGCCUAGGUGCGGAGGCGUCCAUUGAUCCCCAAUCUUUGUAAUCUCCAUUGAAUCUGGAGCUCUUCCAGCAAGGAAUUCUGCAUCGCAGCAAUCGCAGGAGAGGGGAAGAGGGAAUACAAAGCCGCUGUUAAUUCUUGCUCGAUCUGGUGAAAUUCUCUCAUUACUUAAUUCCUCAAUUUGUUCGCGGCUCGCUUCCUGGCACCCGAGGGUAGCAUCUGCACAGUGAUUUUGCUGCACGGCUGGGAAUUGAUCUGAAGGAAAUUUUUGUUGCGACAGUCGUUCGAUGAAUCGGUGAGUAUAAAAAAGUAGUUUGAGAAUUUGGGGAACUUUUGAGCAAAGGGAAAGGAAAGGAAAGGGACGUCAUGUUCUAUGGUACGGCAGCUUGGGAUCCAUGGCUUAUUGUGGCGCAAAUUGUGUGUCUUCAAUGCUUGUAUUAUCUUACACUCGGGAUUUUCUUGUCAAUUCUGGUCGGCACCAGGGUUUCGAAGAUGAGCCUCGUGUAUUUCUUUGAUUUUGCCACGGUAAACGCCUCUACAGGUACUGGCUGGGGCGUGAUGGCUUCAAUUUUUCUCAGCUCCAUUGCAGGAGCUGGUUUUUUGGUAUAUCUAGUUGAAAGAGCAAGGAAGUGUCUGGAUUUUUGUGCAACUCUUUAUAUCAUCCACCUUUUCAUUUGUGUUGCGUAUGGAGGUUGGCCCUCGUCUAUAACAUGGUGGGUCGUGAACAUUACUGGCCUAGCGAUAACCGCGCUGUUAGGUGAAUAUCUGUGCAUGAGAAGAGAACUGCGAGAAAUUCCUAUCUCAAGAUAUCGAUAGAAUGUCGGAAUGUUGAGAAACUCGGGUUAGCUCAUUUUUGGUGAUGCUGGUCGGCGGUCGCAUGACAAUGCUAAACUUCAUCUGAAUUGAGUGUGUUCUGUUGAGAAGAAACAAGUAUGUGAUGUCUAGUGAUAGCGAUGGUAAGUUCCUUUCAUCAUUUUCGUGUCUUUUUUGUGCGAAAAUUGAUAGUCUCGACAUUAAAAGACUGUCUCUGUUGUGGCAUGCUCUUGGUCUUGUUAAAUAUGUUGUCGGGCAAGACGGACUUGGAGAGGGAUGACUUCUGAUCCUCAAAGUUGUGCCCAUAUAUUGAAUUUGUAUCGAUAAUUUGGGGAAAAAGUAUGUUUUGUAAAGAUUGUCAUGGGAAGUGUGGUUAGGGAAUCUUGAGUUGUUUCUUUUUUUUUUUAUUUUGAAAGAAAGAAAGUAAAAUACGAGUCGAAUCGAAGUAUUAACGAGUGCUUUAGCUUGAGCUCACAUUAAAAUUUUGAGGAUCCAAAAAAAAACCUUACUAGUAGAUUGACUAUCAUAGUAAGUUCUGUGGCUUAGCCAGCCCAAAUAUUCUCUCUUUUUUUUAAAGAAAAAAAAAUAAUGUAGAAAUAUGUAAUUAAAUGCGUGAUGAUUAUUGAAUAUUAAUUAUUAUAUAUAAUAUAAAUUAAAAAUAUAUAGAAAUAUUUUUAUUAGUGUCCUUGUAAUACUAAUAGUUGAGUGUAUACUAAAUAAAUUUCAGUUGAAUAUAAUAUCCAGCAAAUUAGGUCGGAUAAGUAAAGUCCAUUAGGCCAGGUGGACUCGGAAGCAUCCUAAUGUCCUACAAAAUUUGAAGAUGGUUCUAAAUUUGGAUUUUAAUUUAAAAUUUAAUUGAACUUGGUGGAUUUUAAUUUGGAUGUAGAAAUUAGAAAACAAGCUGAAAUCCGAAUCCCAAUGGCUAUUGCUUGUUUUUGUAUUCAACAUUAUUAUUAUUAUUAUUAUUAUUAUUAUUAUUAUUACUAUUAUUAUUAUUAUUAUGCCCCUAAUCGCGCAAUAGGCAAUAGCUACGCACGGCGUUGAACACGUGACCUGGCUACAAGUCCACCCACUACCUAUUCAGGACUAGCUAUUUUUAUUGUUAUUUGUAUGCGGUUUACACAUUUAUUCUUUAAUAUUCAAUUUAUUAUUGUUUUUAAUAAUAAAAGUAUUUUAUAAUUGCUUUAUUUAAAAAUUGUAAAUUAUUUUGUUUUACGUAUAUUUUAGUAUUUGAUUAUUUUUACAUAUAAUAUUCCAAGGCAUUCAUUUAGGUUUGUGGGAACAAUUUGUAUCAUCAUGAUAUUUUUUUAAAAAAGAAUUAUAUCAUUUUUUAGAAUGUUGAAAAUUCAUAACAAAUAAUAGGCAUAUCCGUCGUGAAAAAAUUGGGAUAGUGCUUGCCCAGCUCAAUUUGUAAAUUAAAUAUGCUUUUGAAAAAUAAUUUUAUAAAUAUAUUAAAUAAAUUAUGCAAUUUAAUGAUUUAAU